AUUAGAAGCAGCUUCUCCUGAACCUUCUAUGUCAGUUGGAACUCAAGCCCAUCCCAAGAAAACACCUGUUCCCAGAAGAACGAUUUAAAAUAAUCUAAGAAAUUAUUUAGAAAAAAAUAUCCUCUUUGGUAAAAAGAGCUGGCAUAAAGCUCAAAUGGAAACAGCAGUGACGAUUCAGCUGAACAGGAUCGCACGGGCUGGAACGGCUCCUCGGCUCCUUGCUGCACGCUCGCUGCCUAAUUGCGCCCCCGGUAGAGUGCCCGGAGGACUGCAGCCUCAGACCUAGGAGUGACUGACCCAACAGCCCUGAGCUCCUGUCCCCCACUGUGAAAUGGGUCCCCACGAAGUCACCUCACCCAGACAAUAAGCACCAAGUGAGACUCCCAGAG
rnacentral:lncRNA from 1 species